rnacentral:lncRNA from 1 species
GUAGGUACCUGAUGCCCCACGGUCAGGCAGGUCCUCCCGGGGGGCUGGUACCCCCACAUCGAGGGGCUGGGCAGGGAGCACGGCGCCCAGCCAGAGAGCUGCCUCCUGAGGGAGCCCGGGCAUGCAGGACGUCGGUGGACGUGGCCCUCCUCACUCAGUCCUGUCUCUCUCUGCUUCCAGGAUGGUGGAGGGGGCAACAGAAAUUGCUGUGCCCGAUGCUCAAGCUGCCAUCGGCGUCUAUGCCUGGGGGCUGGGUGCCAUCCCGGCACUGUUCCAGGGGUGUGCACAGCAGCCCCCCGCAGACGGGCGCUUAGCCACGCAGGGUGCUGGAAGCCUCUUCACUCUCACCGUGGAGCGGGAGCUGGAGGGUGGCAGGCACCAGCGCUCGGCCCUCAGGAUCCUGGCGUCCCCUGGGGCCACCGGGCCCUGCCCCAAGCCGGCACCGGCCAUUGCCCGCCCCGUGCCUGAUGCUGGCUGCCUGCCCUGGAUCGUCGAGCAGCUGCUGGAGGGGAACAGCCUGACAUUCCUGCUGCUGUGUGUGACGCUGCCAGACACCUCCCGAGAGGAGAUCCUGGCGGCCCUGGGGCUGGCCGAGCGGGUGAAGGGGCUGGCCAAGACCAUCUCAGCCACGUUCUGGGACCCCGUGCAAGAGGUCGCGGCGCGUCGGAGGGAGAUGCGAGGGCUGCGGAUGGAGCUGCUGGCCAGAGCUGGCCUCCCCGAGCAGAAGACGGCUGUGGCCCGGCUGCGGACAGCCCUGCGGGAGCUGCAGGUGCUGAAAAGCCAAAGGUGGGAGAAGAAGCAGGCCGAGGUGCUCAGGACAAGCCAGACGCAUGAGCCCAGCGCGCAGGUGGGCGCAGGCCAGGCCACUGCCCCCUCAUCCUGGGACAACCCAGGGGCAGGAGAAGCCCUGAAUCCUGGUUGCAACCUAACAGCUCCUCCUGCUCCCACAGGACCGGAUCUCCGCAGGGAAUAA